UCAACCGUAAAAUUGCAGUUGAAACUGGCAGUCUUGAGUACAGUAGAGGUGGGCGGAAUUCGUGGUGUAGCGGUGAAAUGCUUAGAUAUCACGAAGAACUCCGAUUGCGAAGGCAGCUCACUAGACUGCAACUGACACUGAUGCUCGAAAGUGUGGGUAUCAAACAGGAUUAGAUACCCUGGUAGUCCACACAGUAAACGAUGAAUACUCGCUGUUUGCGAUAUACAGUAAGCGGCCAAGCGAAAGCAUUAAGUAUUCCACCUGGGGAGUACGCCGGCAACGGUGAAACUCAAAGGAAUUGACGGGGGCUCGCACAAGCGGAGGAACAUGUGGUUUAAUUCGAUGAUACGCGAGGAACCUUACCCGGGCUUAAAUUGCAUUUGAAUAAUCUGGAAACAGGUUAGCCGCAAGGCAAAUGUGAAGGUGCUGCAUGGUUGUCGUCAGCUCGUGCCGUGAGGUGUCGGCUUAAGUGCCAUAACGAGCGCAACCCUUAUCUUUAGUUACUAACAGGUCAUGCUGAGGACUCUGGAGAGACUGCCGUCGUAAGAUGUGAGGAAGGUGGGGAUGACGUCAAAUCAGCACGGCCCUUACGUCCGGGGCUACACACGUGUUACAAUGGGGGGUACAGAAGGCAGCUAGCGGGUGACCGUAUGCUAAUCCCAAAAUCCUCACUCAGUUCGGAUCGAAGUCUGCAACCCGACUUCGUGAAGCUGGAUUCGCUAGUAAUCGCGCAUCAGCCACGGCGCGGUGAAUACGUUCCCGGGCCUUGUACACACCGCCCGUCAAGCCAUGGGAGCCGGGGGUACCUGAAGUACGUAACCGCAAGGAUCGUCCUAGGGUAAAACUGGUGACUGGGGCUAAGUCGUAACAAGGUAACCA
rnacentral:rRNA from 1 species